GGGAAUGUGGCUUAGUGGUAGAGUGCUUGCCUAGCAAGCAUGAAGGCGGGGGUUCAAUUCCUCAUAAACA
rnacentral:tRNA from 1 species